AGAGUUUGAUCAUGGCUCAGGACGAACGCUGGCGGCGUGCCUAACACAUGCAAGUCGAACGGAGAUAAACGCUGAUGAUUUAGCUUGCUAGAGAGUCUUGUUUAUCUUAGUGGCGGACGGGUGAGUAACGCGUGAGCAACCUGCCUUUCGGAGGGGGAUAACGUCUUGAAAAGGACGCUAAUACCGCAUGACAUUGCGAGAUCACAUGGUUUUGCAAUCAAAGGAGCAAUCCGCUGAAAGAUGGGCUCGCGUCCGAUUAGGUAGUUGGUGAGAUAACAGCCCACCAAGCCGACGAUCGGUAGCCGG
rnacentral:rRNA from 1 species